AGAGUUUGAUCCUGGCUCAGGACGAACGCUGGCGGCGUGCUUAACACAUGCAAGUCGAGCGGAGAAAAUUUGGAUUUAUUCAAAUUUUCUUAGCGGCGGACGGGUGAGUAACACGUGGGCAAUCUGCCCUUAAGAGGGGGAUAACACAGAGAAAUCUGUGCUAAUACCGCAUAACACUUAACCUUCACAUGAAGGAUAAGUCAAAGGAGUAAUCCGCUUAAGGAUGAGCCCGCGGCGCAUUAGCUAGUUGGUGGGGUAACGGCCUACCAAGGCGACGAUGCGUAGCCGACCUGAGAGGGUGAUCGGCCACAUUGGAACUGAGACACGGUCCAGACUCCUACGGGAGGCAGCAGUGGGGAAUAUUGCACAAUGGGGGAAACCCUGAUGCAGCAACGCCGCGUGAGUGAUGAAGGCCUUCGGGUUGUAAAGCUCUGUCUUCGCUGACGAAUAAAUGACGGUAAGCGAGGAGGAAGCCACGGCUAACUACGUGCCAGCAGCCGCGGUAAUACGUAGGUGGCAAGCGUUGUCCGGAAUUAUUGGGCGUAAAGGGUGCGUAGGCGGUCUUUUAAGUGGGAUGUGAAAUCCCGGGGCUUAACCCCGGAGCUGCAUUCCAAACUGGAAGACUAGAGUGCAGGAGAGGAAAGUGGAAUUCCCAGUGUAGCGGUGAAAUGCGUAGAGAUUGGGAGGAACACCAGUGGCGAAGGCGGCUUUCUGGACUGUAACUGACGCUGAGGCACGAAAGUGUGGGGAGCAAACAGGAUUAGAUACCCUGGUAGUCCACACUGUAAACUAUGGGUACUGGGUGUAGGGGGCGAAGCCCUCUGUGCCGCAGUUAACACAUUAAGUACCCCGCCUGGGAAGUACGAUCGCAAGAUUAAAACUCAAAGGAAUUGACGG
rnacentral:rRNA from 1 species